UACGAGAGGCCCAAACGUUAUUCGGAAUUACUGGGCUUAAAGAGUUCGUAGGCGGCAUGACAAGUAGGGUGUGAAAGCCCUCGGCUCAACCGAGGAAUUGCGCUCUAAACUGUCGUGCUAGAGGAACCUAGAGGUGAGCAGAACUGAUGGUGGAGCGGUGAAAUGCGUAGAGAUUAGGAAGAACACCAAUGGCGAAAGCACGUUGCUAGGCUGAUUCUGACACUGAGGGACGAAAGCUAGGGGAGCGAAAGGG
rnacentral:rRNA from 1 species